UACGUAGGGUGCGAGCGUAAUCGGAAUUACUGGGCGUAAAGUGUGCGCAGGUGGCCGCGCAAGUCGAGUGUGAAAUCCCCGAGCUUAACUUGGGAAUUGCGCUCGAAACUACGUGGCUCGAGUGUGGCAGAGGAAGGUGGAAUUCCACGUGUAGCGGUGAAAUGCGUAGAGAUCCGGAAGAACACCGGUGGCGAAGGCGGUCUGCUGGGCAGUAGCUGACACUGAGGCGCGACAGCGUGGGGAGCAA
rnacentral:rRNA from 1 species